CUAUAUAAGCUGAGACAAUGUGUUCUCUUGCUCUCUUGCCAUGAUUGCCUUUCUUUGCUGGACUCUUAGAUGUGUCCUGAUUGGCUGCCUGCCCAACCAAUCACAGAGAAGCAUAAGGUGAAUAGGAAGAGCUCUAGAAUAGUCGACCUCACAAGGAAAGGGAUUUGAAGCUCCUGAAGGAUGAGACACCCGGGGGGAGAAACACGGCCAAGGAGAAGAAAAGAUCACACCAUGAAAGACUAAUAACAGCGAGGAGACAAGUAUGGCACCCAAAAACGCUCCAGCGGCCAAGAAAGAAGCAAAGAAGCCGGACAAAGAUGCAAAAGAUGACAAAGCAAAAGAUGCAAAAGAUGACAAAGCAAAAGAUGAAACAGAUGACAAAGCAAAAGAUGCAACAGAUGUAAAUGAAUCAAAAUUCUAUUAUGAAUGGAAGAAAACAGCCAACUUACGUCGUGCAACGGAGAUUGUUAGAGAAUAUAUGAUCACAAGAAAUGCAGCCUACGUUGAGAUGAGUGAUGUUGAUGUACUGAUAGACGCAAAUAAGUAUGCCGAAAUACUGGCUAAUUCAUCCAAGUUGCUUAAUGAACUCGAUCGUGACAUAGCGGACGCCCUUUACCGAUUGAACCAUGACUGGGUAGCCAAUAAACAUAUGAUGCAUGUAUUCAGAGAUGAGUCAAUAACUUGGCAGCAAGCAAAAGAGUUGUGCAAAUUUGAGAAGGCUGCAAUGCUAAAGAUUGAAAGUGAUGAGGAAGAGCUGUACAUUGAAGAUUACAUUAGGGGGAGAGAAGUCGCUUACUGGAUGGCCCUCCGGAGGAAGAAAGAUGACCUUUUUUACUGGGAUACAGACGGAACGGAGGUGCCAAAAAAGGACGGCUAUUGGACAGUUGGUGAACCAAUUGAAAAUGACAAAGUCAACUGUGCUUUCAUAAAAGCAUACUGCUAUGAAAAUUUGAAAUGUUGGUCGGCUGGUAAAUGUACUUUAAAAGCAAGAACUAUUUGUAAGGUUAAGGCGAAACCAAAGUGGCUGACUUGACUGCGCAUCUGAAGACAAACGUCCCUGUAUUCCCCGAAUGUUGUGAAAGAAACGAGGACACCACUGUAUCGGGACACAGAAGCCACAGCCAGCUGACCAGGAUAUUAAACACAAACAUAAAAAAGA